rnacentral:rRNA from 1 species
UACGUAGGGUGCGAGCGUUAAUCGGAAUUACUGGGCGUAAAGCGUGCGCAGGCGGUCUGUUAAGACCGAUGUGAAAUCCCCGGGCUUAACCUGGGAACUGUAUUGGUGACUGGCAGGCUUUGAGUGUGGCAGAGGGGGUAGAAUUCCACGUGUAGCAGUGAAAUGCGUAGAGAUGUGGAGGAAUACCGAUGGCGAAGGCAGCCCCCUGGGCCAACACUGACGCUCAUGCACGAAAGCGUGGGAGCAAACAGG